GAAGACUUCUGAGAAACUAUAAAGAUUUUAAGAGAAAAAUGUGCUCUUUGUCUUUGCUAUGUAACUCCGUUUUGAACACAGGACUGCUGCCUCCCUUCCUUCCAGGAACCGGCAGCCUAUGUACUGAUCUGAUGCAGAGCUAAUCUUUUCUGAGACAUCCUCUCCUCCAGGGUCGAGCCUCCCAUAAUUUUGCUUCCCUGGGACAUAGUCUUCGCUGUGUCAACCGAAAGUCUGAAAAUGGCCCAUCAAAUUUUCCUGUGGGAGGUCUGCCCUACGCUGCAUACACUGAGGUCGAGCACAGGUUGAAUUGUCUAUAUCUAAGCUUCUGAUUUAUCCUAUCUAGACCCACCUUAAUCCCAGUAAUAAAGAAGGUGAUGUGGGAACCCUUAGAAGUAAUCAAUGGAAAGCCUAUAAAGUAAGAAAAAUAUUGAGUAACUGGCAAUUGGCUCAUAAAUAUCCCUGGCACAGCCUGAGACAGUCCUUGGCUGCCUUUUCUGGAGCGGAAUCUUCCAUUGUGAUGAGAAGGAAGUUGCCAGCAGACACAGCCACCUGCAUCCCACACAACAGCUUUAAAGGAGAAAACCCCGUGGAGAAAGAACUGAAACUGAGAGGAGUUCCAAACUAAAAAUAAACCACAGAUCUCAGCAAGGCUCUAUACCCUG
rnacentral:lncRNA from 1 species